rnacentral:rRNA from 1 species
AUUGAACGCUGGCGGAAUGCUUUACACAUGCAAGUCGAACGGCAGCACGGACUUCGGUCUGGAGGCGAGUGGCGAACGGGUGAGUAAUGUAUCGGAACGUGCCCAGUCGUGGGGGAUAACGUAGUGAAAAUUACGCUAAUACCGCAUACGAUCUAUGGAUGAAAGCGGGGGAUCGCAAGACCUCGCGCGAUUGGAGCGGCCGAUAUCAGAUUAGGUAGUUGGUGGGGUAAAGGCCCACCAAGCCAACGAUCUGUAGCUGGUCUGAGAGGACGACGAGCCACACUGGAACUGAGACACGGUCCAGACUCCUACGGGAGGCAGCAGUAGGGCAUUUUCGACGAUGGACGAGAGCCUGAUCCAGCAAUGCCGCGUGUGUGAAGAAGGCCUUCGGGUUGUAAAGCACUUUUGUCCGGAAAGAAAUGGCUCUGGUUAAUACCUGGGGUCGAUGACGGUACCGGAAGAAUAAGGACCAGCUAACUACGUGCCAGCCGCCGCCGUAA